UACGUAGGGGGCAAGCGUUGUCCGGAAUCAUUGGGCGUAAAGAGCGUGUAGGCGGCCCGGUAAGUCCGCUGUGAAAGUCCAGGGCUCAACCCUGGGAUGCCGGUGGAUACUGUCGGGCUCGAGUCCGGAAGAGGAGUGUGGAAUUCCUGGUGGUAGCGGUGAAAUGCGCAGAUAUCAGGAGGAACACCAAUGGCGAAGGCAGCACUCUGGGACGUGACUGACGCUGAGACGCGAAAGCGUGGGAGCAAACAG
rnacentral:rRNA from 1 species